rnacentral:rRNA from 1 species
UUCGAUUCUGGCUCAGAACGAACGCUGGCGGCGCGCUUAAGCAUGCAAGUCGAACGGCAAGAGGUAGCAAUACCUCCUAGAGUGGCGGACUGGUGAGUAACACGUGGGUGACAUACCCUUCAGAUGGGGAUAGCUAUUAGAAAUAGUAGAUAAUACCGAAUACGAGCACAGGGGUUAGAGAUCUGUGAGGAAAGGAGCUAAGGCUCCGCUGAAGGAAUGGCCUGCGGCCCAUUAGCUAGUUGGUGAGGUAAGAGCCCACCAAGGCGAUGAUGGGUAUCCGGCCUUAGAGGGUGAACGGACACAUUGGGACUGAGAUACGGCCCAGACUCCUACGGGAGGCAGCAGCUAAGAAUAUUCCGCAAUGGACGAAAGUCUGACGGAGCGACGCCGCGUGGAUGAAGAAGGCCGGAAGGUUGUAAAAUCCUUUUGAAACUGAAGAAUAAGCGUUGUAGGGAAUGACAGCGUGGUGACAGUAGGUUUUGAAUAAGCAACGGCUAAUUACGUGCCAGCAGCGGC